rnacentral:rRNA from 1 species
AGAGUUUGAUCCUGGCUCAGGAUGAACGCUAGCGGGAGGCCUAACACAUGCAAGCCGAGCGGUAGAGAUCUUUCGGGAUCUUGAGAGCGGCGUACGGGUGCGGAACACGUGUGCAACCUGCCUUUAUCAGGGGGAUAGCCUUUCGAAAGGAAGAUUAAUACCCCAUAAUAUAUUAAGUGGCAUCAUUUGAUAUUGAAAACUCCGGUGGAUAGAGAUGGGCACGCGCAAGAUUAGAUAGUUGGUAGGGUAACGGCCUACCAAGUCAGUGAUCUUUAGGGGGCCUGAGAGGGUGAUCCCCCACACUGGUACUGAGACACGGACCAGACUCCUACGGGAGGCAGCAGUGAGGAAUAUUGGACAAUGGGUGAGAGCCUGAUCCAGCCAUCCCGCGUGAAGGACGACGGCCCUAUGGGUUGUAAACUUCUUUUGUAUAGGGAUAAACCUUUCCACGUGUGGAAAGCUGAAGGUACUAUACGAAUAAGCACCGGCUAACUCCGUGCCAGCAGCCGCGGUAAUACGGAGGGUGCAAGCGUUAUCCGGAUUUAUUGGGUUUAAAGGGUCCGUAGGCGGAUCUGUAAGUCAGUGGUGAAAUCUCAUAGCUUAACUAUGAAACUGCCAUUGAUACUGCAGGUCUUGAGUAAAGUAGAAGUGGCUGGAAUAAGUAGUGUAGCGGUGAAAUGCAUAGAUAUUACUUAGAACACCAAUUGCGAAGGCAGGUCACUAUGUUUUAACUGACGCUGAUGGACGAAAGCGUGGGGAGCGAACAGGAUUAGAUACCCUGGUAGUCCACGCCGUAAACGAUGCUAACUCGUUUUUGGGUCUUCGGAUUCAGAGACUAAGCGAAAGUGAUAAGUUAGCCACCUGGGGAGUACGUUCGCAAGAAUGAAACUCAAAGGAAUUGACGGGGGCCCGCACAAGCGGUGGAUUAUGUGGUUUAAUUCGAUGAUACGCGAGGAACCUUACCAAGGCUUAAAUGGAAAUUGACAGGUUUAGAAAUAGACUUUUCUUCGGACAAUUUUCAAGGUGCUGCAUGGUUGUCGUCAGCUCGUGCCGUGAGGUGUUAGGUUAAGUCCUGCAACGAGCGCAACCCCUGUCACUAGUUGCCAUCAUUCAGUUGGGGACUCUAGUGAGACUGCCUACGCAAGUAGAGAGGAAGGUGGGGAUGACGUCAAAUCAUCACGGCCCUUACGCCUUGGGCCACACACGUAAUACAAUGGCCGGUACAGAGGGCAGCUACCUAGCGAUAGGAUGCGAAUCUCGAAAGCCGGUCUCAGUUCGGAUUGGAGUCUGCAACUCGACUCUAUGAAGCUGGAAUCGCUAGUAAUCGCAUAUCAGCCAUGAUGCGGUGAAUACGUUCCCGGGCCU